CGGAGAGUCACGGAGUUCCGAAAGGUGUGAGGGAGAAAGGACUUCCAAGACCAGAGAGGGGAUUUACGAUAUUUAGAAAGCAGGGAAAGGAAAAUACCCCAAGUAUGGAGUCCGUUGGAGGUGUUGGUGGAUUUAUUUGUAGGAGGAAUUUUGGCCUGCAUCACGGUGGGAGGUCAAGUGGCAUCAUUUGGAGAGGGUAUGGCUACAAGCGCUUGGAAAGUCGGGACACUAGACAGAGCGAGAAUUUCUGGCACCCUGGGAGAGCUUUGAGGGGGAUGCGACUGUGGUGUGGAUAAGAAUGGCUGAUGGACGGAUUAUCUUGUGUUCCUCGUUGUGGGGAGCUUCCGCUCUUGGGACAUAGCCGCUACUUGUCUGAGGCUCCUUCUCUCUUGAGUUCUUUCAGCAUUAGGCCUUUUAGCCAAUUGAGGCUGCUUUUCUAAACAUUUAGGUUUUGGUGGGGUUUUUUUGCCAAAACCACAAUGACCUUUGCACCAGUCUAGUAAGUUUGGGAAAGAGAGCUGUCUGUGUGUUUUCAUUCCUAGAGCAGUACAAGCAGCAGGUGCAUUGAAUUUACUCAAUUGUAAAGUGGCUUG
rnacentral:lncRNA from 1 species